UACGGGGGGGGCAAGCGUUGUUCGGAAUUACUGGGCGUAAAGGGCUCGUAGGCGGCCAACUAAGUCAGACGUGAAAUCCCUCGGCUUAACCGGGGAACUGCGUCUGAUACUGGAUGGCUUGAGUGUGGGAGAGGGAUGCGGAAUUCCAGGUGUAGCGGUGAAAUGCGUAGAUAUUGGGAAGAACACCGGUGGCGAAGGCGGCUCUCUGGACCGAGACUGACGCUGAGGCGCGAAAGCGUGGGGAGCAAACAGG
rnacentral:rRNA from 1 species